UUAACUGACUUGCCUACUUAAAUAAAGGUUACACAAGUAAUAAUAUGUUACAGCUUAUGUUACACAAACAAUGAAUUGAUUUCAUCUUCAUUCCUUAGGGAUCAAUCAGGCUGCAUUCAAGUACAAAUAUGUGACAACCACAACAUUGUGAGUGCCAAAAUGGCAAAGACCUUCUCAUAUCGAAGACAAGAUGUCGUUCAGGCCCUUCCUGUGAAGGACUUCAAAGAAUGAAUGGCCAGCCCUGUUUGAGCCCACUCAGGAAGCAAAUUUGGCAAAGAUUGGGUGUUCAUACCUCUGCCCUCUGUCUGAAGCAGUGUACUGUUCCAGUUGGAUUUUGACGAUAGCUUGGCGUGUCAUCUGAAGCGCUGUAAAGGAGGAACUCUGUAACUACAGAUUCAGGAACUUCUCCUUCUUUCUCUUGGAUACCUGAAAACGCCAAGGAGUGUGGAGAUGCAUCUCAGAUCUACCUGUCUGUCUCUCUCUUCUUCAACGGUCUCACUGCCUCCUUCACCUGUCUCAAGGCCUCCACGCUGGUUUUCUGAUGACAGACAGACAGCUACCUAGCCUAAACCCUGCCCCCUUCUGAAUCGGUAUCUCCCUGGAAUGUUCCAGAAUGCCUGAACUUAGCGCCUGCUGCUGUUUGUGUCAUCUUUAUCAAUCAAUAUGACUAUAUGAUUUAAGUAAUUAUAUUGAUAAUCUUGGCUGAUGGACUGAGAGGAAUAAGCUGUUGACUGAGUCCAUGUUUGAUGACUUUACAAUCACAGAGAGCUGUUGACUGACUCCAUGCUUGUUGACUUUACAAUCACAGAGAGAUGUUGACUGACUCCAUGCUUGUUGACUUUACAAUCACAGAGAGAUGUUGACUGACUCCAUGCUUGUUGACUUUACAAUCACAGAGAGAUGUUGACUGACUCCAUGCCUGUUGACUUUACAAUCACAGAGAGAUGUUGACUGACUCCAUGCUUGUUGACUUUACAAUCACAGAGAGAUGUUGACUGACUCCAUGCUUGUUGACUUUACAAUCACAGAGAGCUGUUGACUGACUCCAUGCUUGUUGACUUUACAAUCACAGAGAGAUGUUGACUGACUCCAUGCUUGUUGACUUUACAAUCACAGAGAGCUGUUGACUGACUCCAUGCUUGUUGACUUUACAAUCACAGAGAGAUGUUGACUGACUCCAU